rnacentral:ncRNA from 1 species
AUAAAGACUUGGAACAGAACAAGUAGUUUAAAGCCGAUUUUUAGAGAGUCGUUGAUGGUGGAAAUGCGACAAUUCUUUAAGCGAACACACAUCUGUGAGUUGAUUGCUUGAAUUCAGUAGAGUAAUCCGGGUAGCCCGUUACAGCAACAGGUUUGAUGAUAAACUUAUUGAGGCAGCUUGGUGUGAGCCGGUUGUGAAGAUGAGGUGGAAUCGCGUUGAAGACGCCCUCUUAAGGCUAUGGCCUUAGGAGGCGUUUUUUGUUUUUCUAGAGUCAAACCUGCUAAGGCAAAUUUGCGUGAGCAAGUUUGUAAACUGAGGUGGAACCACGAUUACUCGUCCUCUUG